rnacentral:rRNA from 1 species
UAAGCUAAAUACCGGCCAGAGACCGAUAGCGCACAAGUAGAGUGAUCGAAAGAUGAAAAGUACUUUGAAAAGAGGGUUAAAUAGCACGUGAAAUUGUUGAAAGGGAAGCGUUUGCGACCAGACUUUUUCCAGGCGGAUCAUCCGGUGUUCUCACCGGUGCACUUCGCCUGGUUUAGGCCAGCAUCGGUUCUCUUAGGGGGAUAAAGGCCUGGGGAACGUAGCUCCUUCGGGAGUGUUAUAGCCCCUUGCGUAAUACCCUUCGGGGGACCGAGGAACGCGCAUCUGCAAGGAUGCUGGCGUAAUGGUCGUCAACGACCCG